rnacentral:rRNA from 1 species
UACAGAGACUGCAAGCGUUGUUCGGAUUCACUGGGCUUAAAGGGCGCGUAGGCGGCUUGCCAAGUCAGGGGUGAAAUCUUUCGGCUCAACCGGAAAACGGCCCCUGAUACUGGCGGGCUUGAGGGAGGUAGGGGCGGAUGGAACUUCCGGUGGAGCGGUGAAAUGCGUAGAUAUCGGAAGGAACGCCGGUGGCGAAAGCGAUCCGCUGGACCUCCUCUGACGCUGAGGCGCGAAAGCCAGGGGAGCAAGCGGG